UACAGAGGUCUCAAGCGUUGUUCGGAUUCAUUGGGCGUAAAGGGUGUGUAGGUGGCGCUGUAAGUCGGGUGUGAAAUCUUGGAGCUUAACUCCGAAACUGCAUUCGAUACUGCCGUGCUUGAGGACUGGAGAGGAGACUGGAAUUCCUGGUGUAGCGGUGAAAUGCGCAGAUAUCAGGAGGAACACCGGUGGCGAAGGCGGGUCUCUGGGCCGAUAUCGACGCUGAGGAGCGAAAGCGUGGGGAGCGAACAGG
rnacentral:rRNA from 1 species